AGCGAACGCUGGCGGCAGGCCUAACACAUGCAAGUCGAACGAACCCUUCGGGGUUAGUGGCGGACGGGUGAGUAACACGUGGGAACGUGCCUUUAGGUUCGGAAUAACUCAGGGAAACUUGUGCUAACACCGAAUGUGCCCUUCGGGGGAAAGAUUUAUCGCCUUUAGAGCGGCCCGCGUCUGAUUAGCUAGUUGGUGAGGUAAUGGCUCACCAAGGCUACGAUCAGUAGCUGGUCUGAGAGGGUGACCAGCCACAUUGGGACUGAGACACGGCCCAAACUCCUACGGGAGGCAGCAGUGGGGAAUCUUGCGCAAUGGGCGAAAGCCUGACGCAGCCAUGCCGCGUGGAUGAUGAAGGUCUUAGGAUUGUAAAAUCCUUUCACCGGUGAAGAUAAUGACUGUAGCCGGAGAAGAAGCCCCGGCUAACUUCGUGCCAGCCGCCGCCGUAAGAC
rnacentral:rRNA from 1 species